GUGCCGGUGCCGAGGACGGCGCCGGUUCCGGCGGUGCGGCUGCCGCCGCUGUCCGGUCCGGUGCCGGUGCC
rnacentral:tRNA from 1 species